AUUGAACGCUGGCGGCAGGCUUAACACAUGCAAGUCGAGCGGGGAGAUGGUGCUUGCACUAUCACUUAGCGGCGGACGGGUGAGUAAUGCUUAGGAAUCUGCCUAUUAGUGGGGGACAACGUCUCGAAAGGGAUGCUAAUACCGCAUACGUCCUACGGGAGGAAGCAGGGGAUCUUCGGACCUUGCGCUAAUAGAUGAGCCUAAGUCGGAUUAGCUAGUUGGUGGGGUAAAGGCCUACCAAGGCGACGAUCUGUAGCAGGUCUGAGAGGAUGAUCCGCCACACUGGGACUGAGACACGGCCCAGACUCCUACGGGAGGCAGCAGUGGGGAAUAUUGGACAAUGGGGGGAACCCUGAUCCAGCCAUGCCGCGUGUGUGAAGAAGGCCUUAUGGUUGUAAAGCACUUUAAGCGAGGAGGAGGCUACUUUAGUUAAUACCUAGAGAUAGUGGACGUUACUCGCAGAAUAAGCACCGGCUAACUCUGUGCCAGCCGCCGCGGUAA
rnacentral:rRNA from 1 species